rnacentral:rRNA from 1 species
CGUAGGUAACCUACCCUCAGGACUGAGAUAACCCCGGGAAACUGGGGCUAAUAUUAGAUAGAUAAAAGAUACUGGAAUGUUCUUUUAUCCAAAGCUUUUGCGCCUGAGGAUGGGCCUGCGUCCGAUUAGGUUGUUGGUGGGGUAAUGGCCCACCAAGCCUACGAUCGGUACGGGCAGUGAGAGCUGAAGCCCGGAGUUGGGGACUGAGACAAGGCCCCAGGCCCUACGGGGCGCAGCAGGCGCGAAACCUCUGCAAUGCGGGAAACCGUGACAGGGGGAUCCCAAGUGCUCAUGCAUUGCAUGGGCUGUUCUUUGGUCUAAGUAACCAGAGGAGUAAGGGCUGGGCAAGACCGGUGCCAGCCGCCGCGGUAAUACCGGCAGCUCAAGUGGUAGCCGCGAUUAUUGGGCCUAAAGCGUUCGUAGCCGGAUAAGUAAGUCUUUGGUUAAAUCCUGCGACUUAACCGUGGGAAAUCUAGAGAUACUGCUUGUCUUGAGACCGGGAGAGGUUGGAGGUACUCCCAGGGUAGGGGUGAAAUCC